CGCAGAACGUCAAAUGCGAGCUACCACCAGGAUGGCUGUCUUUGUGUCGUUGCCGUCGGUAGCUCGAUGACGGGAAACACGUCUACCCGCCGCAGGACGGGGAAUGUCAGGGACGAGGCCGUGACCUUGGCUAUAUGGAGAGUAUCUCGUACUGCUCAUGGAACACUGAAGAGUUUUGUGCAUUCCAUUUAUCUUGCCUAAUUCGCUUCAGGCUUCUGCUGCUUUCUAGAGAAGCACGAGAACGGAAAGCAACCAGUUGAAACUCGUGGCUGGGCUACCUUUGCAAACUGCGGCGGAGUGCCGUUCUCGUGCUCGAGCUACAGGAGCAAUGCAAAGAAAUGAAAGAUCGAGUGUUGCAGUGCUCGGGGGUAGGCGCCAUGCAGUGGAAAACAGCGGUAGAAAACGGAAAAAGGGAGCAAGACAUCUUCGAGUGUACGCCCGAUGUCACGCCAGGCAUAGUGUCUCUUAACAAAAGUUGUGACCUCUGGACUUAACGAAACCACUGUUCCGUUUAGGAGGCAUGAAUCCUGCAGCGAUGCCCCAGACUGUCACAGCCUGGAUCGCUCUUUUGACAGAUUGUGCCUGGCCUAACUCGACCAAUCUCUGCGGGGCUUCACAUCAUGGUUGGGAGGUUCGUUCGGUCCAUUUUAAGUGGAACUCUUUUUCAAAUGACGUGAAGCAGAGCCGUAGCACUGAAUCCGCUGGACAACGACCAGAUGUCUGACGUCUCGAGAGGUCUAUUUCCUUCCCUAGAGCAGUAUUCGUGCUUGCGCAUUCGCAGGUUAGUUCGGGAUUAGCUUGUUCUCUAGAUACAAU
rnacentral:lncRNA from 1 species